CAGCCGCCACGGGAAUACGAAGGGGGCUAGCGUUGCUCGGAAUCACUGGGCGUAAAGGGUGCGUAGGCGGGUCUUUAAGUCAGAGGUGAAAGCCUGGAGCUCAACUCCAGAACUGCCUUUGAUACUGGAGAUCUCGAGUUCGGGAGAGGUGAGUGGAACUGCGAGUGUAGAGGUGAAAUUCGUAGAUAUUCGCAAGAACACCAGUGGCGAAGGCGGCUCACUGGCCCGAUACUGACGCUGAGGCACGAAAGCGUGGGGAGCAAACAGGAUUAGAUACCCCUGUAGUCCCUGUCUCUUAUAC
rnacentral:rRNA from 1 species